GUCACCGAGGCUCCAGCGGACGCGCUACUGGUCGCCCUCCUCGCCUUCCCUGCCACCCUCCUCCGGUGUCGUCGUCUUCCUGCAAUUUCCGCGCUCCUUCCUGCUCCCCCCGCGGUCGCGGCUCGCGGGAACCGCCGCCACAGACCUCGUCACCGACCGGACCGGCAGCCGCGAGAGUCAGCCCCGGCCCCAUGCGCGCGCGCGCCUGAUUGGUGCUUGGCCGGCUGACCCCGAGGCCGAGGGAGGGAGAGGGCCCGG
rnacentral:lncRNA from 1 species